ACUCCUACGGGAGGCAGCAGUGGGGAAUAUUGCACAAUGGGCGCAAGCCUGAUGCAGCCAUGCCGCGUGUGUGAAGAAGGCCUUCGGGUUGUAAAGCACUUUCAGUCGUGAGGAAGGCGGGUACGUUAAUAGCGUAUUCGUUUGACGUUAGCGACAGAAGAAGCACCGGCUAACUCCGUGCCAGCAGCCGCGGUAAUACGGAGGGUGCGAGCGUUAAUCGGAAUUACUGGGCGUAAAGCGCAUGCAGGUGGUUUGUUAAGUCAGAUGUGAAAGCCCGGGGGCUCAACCUCGGAAUAGCAUUUGAAACUGGCAGACUAGAGUACUGUAGAGGGGGGUAGAAUUUCAGGUGUAGCGGUGAAAUGCGUAGAGAUCUGAAGGAAUACCGGUGGCGAAGGCGGCCCCCUGGACAGAUACUGACACUCAGAUGCGAAAGCGUGGGGAGCAAACAGGAUUAGAUACCCUGGUAGGACAGUG
rnacentral:rRNA from 1 species